rnacentral:rRNA from 1 species
GACGGGGGCCCGGCACAAGCGGUGGAGCAUGUGGUUUAAUUUCGAAGCAACGCGCAGAACCUUACCAACCCUUCGACAUGGAUAUCGCGGUUCCAGAGAUGGAUCCUUCAGUUCGGCUGGAUAUCACACAGGUGCUGCAUGGCUGUCGUCAGCUCGUGUCGUGAGAUGUUCGGUUAAGUCCGGCAACGAGCGCAACCCACAUUCUUAGUUGCCAGCAUUCAGUUGGGCACUCUAGGAAAACUGCCGAUGAUAAGUCGGAGGAAGGUGUGGAUGACGUCAAGUCCUCAUGGCCCUUACGGGUUGGGCUACACACGUGCUACAAUGGUAGUGACAAUGGGUUAAUCCCAAAAAGCUAUCUCAGUUCGGAUUGGGGUCUGCAACUCGACCCCAUGAAGUCGGAAUCGCUAGUAAUCGCGUAACAGCAUGACGCGGUGAAUACGUUCCCGGGCCUU